GACGAACGCUGGCGGCGUGCCUAAUACAUGCAAGUCGAACGCAGUGGGGACGAGUUAGUAACACGUGGCUAACCUCCCAUCAGACGUGAUAACACUUGGCAACAGGUGCUAAACCGAUCCUGAUGGAUGGACCCGCGGUGCAUUAGCCAGUUGGUGAGGUAACGGCUCACCAAGGCCACGAUGCCUAGCCGACCGGAGAGGGUGAUCGGCCACACUGGGACUGAGACACGGCCCAGACUCCUACGGGAGGCAGCAGUGGGGAAUCUUCGGCAAUGGACGAAAGUCUGACCGAGCAACGCCGCGUGAGUGAAGAAGGUUUUCGGAUCGUAAAACUCUGUUGUUAGAGAAGCGGUAUCUAACCAGAAAGCCACGGCUAACUACGUGCCAGCAGCCGCGGUAAUAC
rnacentral:rRNA from 1 species